UGUGACAAAGGCAAACCACUCGAGAGGGUGGGACGCAAAGCCAAGGGACCUAACGAGGGACACAUGUUCCAGGGUCAGCCUAGCCGCCACAA
rfam:Daphnia pulex DAPPTscaffold_11575_Cont18181, whole genome shotgun sequence.